rnacentral:rRNA from 1 species
GACGAACGCUGGCGGCGUGCCUAAUACAUGCAAGUUGAGCGAUGAAGAUUGGUGCUUGCACCAAUUUGAAGAGCAGCGAACGGGUGAGUAACGCGUGGGGAAUCUGCCUUUGAGCGGGGGACAACAUUUGGAAACGAAUGCUAAUACCGCAUAACAACUUUAAACAUAAGUUUUAAGUUUGAAAGAUGCAAUUGCAUCACUCAAAGAUGAUCCCGCGUUGUAUUAGCUAGUUGGUGAGGUAAAGGCUCACCAAGGCGAUGAUACAUAGCCGACCUGAGAGGGUGAUCGGCCACAUUGGGACUGAGACACGGCCCAAACUCCUACGGGAGGCAGCAGUAGGGAAUCUUCGGCAAUGGACGAAAGUCUGACCGAGCAACGCCGCGUGAGUGAAGAAGGUUUUAGGAUCGUAAAACUCUGUUGGUAGAGAAGAACGUUGGUGAGAGUGGAAAGCUCAUCAAGUGACGGUAACUACCCAGAAAGGGACGGCUAACUACGUG